UCCCUUUGUGACCUUACAAAUACCUAGGAGGAUGUCGCCAUAGAAACCGGCAGAAUAACUGAUGAACAUGGGGGUCCAACGCUACCUGGAUGCAGUAGCCUUCUUUUGGGAGCUGAAAGGAGGACAACGAACACAGUGGUCUCAAGUUGGAAUGACCAUGGAGAUGAACGAUUUUCAAUUUCAUUUUCUGACCAGUCAAUUAGUAAAUCCACUUUCUUCA
rnacentral:sRNA from 1 species